AGAACGAACGCUGGCGGCAGGCUUAACACAUGCAAGUCGAGCGCCCCGCAAGGGGAGCGGCAGACGGGUGAGUAACGCGUGGGAACAUACCCUCCGGUUCGGAAUAGCUCAGGGAAACUUGGAUUAAUACCGGAUACGGUCGAGAGGCGAAAGAUUUAUCGCCGGAGGAUUGGCCCGCGUUCGAUUAGCUAGUUGGUGAGGUAACGGCUCACCAAGGCGACGAUCGAUAGCUGGUCUGAGAGGAUGAUCAGCCACAUUGGGACUGAGACACGGCCCAAACUCCUACGGGAGGCAGCAGUGGGGAAUAUUGGACAAUGGGCGCAAGCCUGAUCCAGCCAUGCCGCGUGAGUGAUGACGGUCCUUAGGGUUGUAAAGCUCUUUCGCUAGGGACGAUAAUGACGGUACCUAGACAAGAAGCCCGGCUAACUUCGCGCCAGCAGCCGC
rnacentral:rRNA from 1 species